rnacentral:rRNA from 1 species
UCGAGCGGAURACGGGAGCUUGCUCCUUGAUUCAGCGGCGGACGGGUGAGUAAUGCCUAGGAAUCUGCCUGGUAGUGGGGGACAACGUUUCGAAAGGAACGCUAAUACCGCAUACGUCCUACGGGAGAAAGCAGGGGACCUUCGGGCCUUGCGCUAUCAGAUGAGCCUAGGUCGGAUUAGCUAGUUGGUGGGGUAAUGGCUCACCAAGGCGACGAUCCGUAACUGGUCUGAGAGGAUGAUCAGUCACACUGGAACUGAGACACGGUCCAGACUCCUACGGGAGGCAGCAGUGGGGAAUAUUGGACAAUGGGCGAAAGCCUGAUCCAGCCAUGCCGCGUGUGUGAAGAAGGUCUUCGGAUUGUAAAGCACUUUAAGUUGGGAGGAAGGGCAGUAAGCGAAUACCUUGCUGUUUUGACGUUACCGACAGAAUAAGCACCGGCUAACUCUGUGCCAGCAGCCGCGGUAAUACAGAGGGUGCAAGCGUUAAUCGGAAUUACUGGGCGUAAAGCGCGCGUAGGUGGUUUGUUAAGUUGGAUGUGAAAGCCCCGGGCUCAACCUGGGAACUGCAUCCAAAACUGGCAAGCUAGAGUACGGUAGAGGGUGGUGGAAUUUCCUGUGUAGCGGUGAAAUGCGUAAAUAUAG